CAGCCGCCGCGGGAAUACGUAGGUGGCAAGCGUUGUCCGGAAUUACUGGGCGUAAAGGGCGCGUAGGCGGCACGAUUAGUCAGGCGUGAAAUUCCUGGGCUCAACCUGGGGACUGCGCUUGAUACGGUCGAGCUAGAGGAUGGAAGAGGGUCGUGGAAUUCCCAGUGUAGAGGUGAAAUUCGUAGAUAUUGGGAAGAACACCGGUGGCGAAGGCGGCGACCUGGUCCAUUACUGACGCUGAGGCGCGACAGCGUGGGGAGCAAACAGGAUUAGAGACCCGAGUAGUCCCUGUCUCUUAUAA
rnacentral:rRNA from 1 species